rnacentral:rRNA from 1 species
CUACGGGAGGCUCCAGUCGAGAAUAGUCUACAAUGGACGAAAGUCUGAUAGUGCGACGCCGCGUGGAUGAAGAAGCAUUUCGGUGUGUAAAGUCCUUUUCUGUGUGAGCAAUGUUUUCCAGGUUAAUAGCUUGGAGAAAGCGAUAUUAACACAGGAAUAAGCUCCGGCUAACUCCGUGCCAGCAGCCGCGGUAACACGGGGGGAGCAAGCGUUGUCCGGAAUUACUAGGCGUAAAGGGUAAGUAGGCGGAAUUGUAAGUCAGAUGUUAAAGGCACCGGCUCAACCGGUGUAUGGCAUUUGAUACUGUAAUUCUAGAGUAAGGUGGGGGAAGACGGAAUUCCUGGUGUAGCGGUGGAAUGCGCAGAUAUCAGGAGGAACACCAGAGGCGCAGGCGGUCUUCUAUACCAUUACUGACGCUCAAUUACGAAGGUGUGGGUAUCAAACAGGAUUAGAUACCCCGGUAGUC